rnacentral:rRNA from 1 species
ACAGCAGUAGCCACGGUAAUACAGAGGGUGCGAGCGUUAAUCGGAUUUACUGGGCGUAAAGCGUGCGUAGGCGGCUUCUUAAGUCGGAUGUUAAAUCCCUGAGCUUAACUUAGGAAUUGCAUUCGAUACUGGGAAGCUAGAGUAUGGGAGAGGAUGGUAGAAUUCCAGGUGUAGCGGUGAAAUGCGUAGAGAUCUGGAGGAAUACCGAUGGCGAAGGCAGCCAUCUGGCCUAAUACUGACGCUGAGGUACGAAAGCAUGGGGAGCAAACAGGAUUAGAUACCCCUGUAGUCCCUGUCUCUUAUAC